rnacentral:rRNA from 1 species
AGGGUUUGAUCAUGGCUCAGGACGAACGCUGGCGGCAUGCCUAACACAUGCAAGUCGAACGAGAAAGUUCCUUCGGGAGCAAUUAAAGUGGCGCACGGGUGAGUAACGCGUAGACAAUCUGCCCUUCAGUCUGGGACAACUUUUCGAAAGGAGAGCUAAUACCGGAUAACAAUGCAUGACACAAGUUGUAUAUUUGAAAGCUUUAUGUGCUGAAGGAGGGGUCUGCGUCCCAUUAGCUAGUUGGUAAGGUAAAGGCUUACCAAGGCAACGAUGGGUAGCGGGUUUGAGAGGACGAUCCGCCACACUGGAACUGAGACACGGUCCAGACUCCUACGGGAGGCAGCAGUGGGGAAUAUUGCACAAUGGAGGAAACUCUGAUGCAGCAAUGUCGCGUGAGUGAAGAAGGCCCUUGGGUCGUAAAGCUCUUUUAUGGGGGAAGAUGAUGACGGUACCCCAAGAAUAAGCACCGGCUAACUAUGUGCCAGCAGCCGCGGUAAUACAUAGGGUGCGAGCGUUGUUCGGAAUUACUGGGCGUAAAGGGCGCGCAGGCGGAAUAGUAAGUCGGAGGUGAAAGCCCGGGGCUCAACCCCGGAGGGUCUUUCGAAACUACUAAUCUAGAGAGGGUCAGGGGCCGGCAGAAUUCCUGGUGUAGAGGUGAAAUUCGUAGAUAUCAGGAGGAAUACCG